rnacentral:snRNA from 1 species
GUGCUCGCUUUGGCGGCACAUAUACUAA